rnacentral:rRNA from 1 species
CGAUGCCGCGUGUGUGACGAAGGCCUUCGGGUCGUAAAGCACUGUCAGGCGGGAAGAAGUCGUGCAUAUUAAGUAUGCACGUAGACGGUACCGCCGAAGGAAGCACCGGCUAACUCCGUGCCAGCAGCCGCGGUAAUACGGAGGAGGCAAGCGUUAUCCGGAAUUAUUGGGCGUAAAGCGUCCGCAGGGGGCGCAUCAAGUCUGCUGUUAAAGGCUGGAGCUUAACUCCGGUAGAGCAGUGGAAACUGGUGCGCUAGAGGGCGACAGGGGUAGAGGGAAUUCCCAGUGUAGCGGUGAAAUGCGUAGAGAUUGGGAAGAACACCGGUGGCGAAAGCGCUCUACUGGGUCGCACCUGACCCUCAGGGACGAAAGCUAAGGUAGCG